rnacentral:rRNA from 1 species
UACGAAGGGGGCUAGCGUUAUCCGGAUUUAUUGGGUUUAAAGGGUGCGUAGGCGGCCUAUUAAGUCAGGGGUGAAAGACGGUAGCUUAACUAUCGCAGUGCCUUUGAUACUGAUGGGCUUGAAUACACUAGAGGUAGGCGGAAUGUGACAAGUAGCGGUGAAAUGCAUAGAUAUGUCACAGAACACCAAUUGCGAAGGCAGCUUACUAUGGUGCAAUUGACGCUGAGGCACGAAAGCGUGGGGAUCAAACAGG